UUUUGCAUUCGUCUCGCUCGCUCCUUCCUUCUUGGCACUCUGGCCCUUCAGACAGGGGGGGGUGGGAAGGUCUGUUGGUCGGCAUCGUGUGCUCUUGGGGGGUCCUCCCCCGGGGUGGUUUGUCCCUCCCCGGGGAAGCAACAGGGAUUCGUACGCAGAGAGUGUGGGGUUGGGCGCUCGCGCGCCCCCCAUCUGCCCCUGGGCGGACCAGGGCGUGGGCUUGUGUAAUGAUCCUUCCGCAGGUUCACCUACGGAAA
rnacentral:misc_RNA from 1 species